rnacentral:lncRNA from 1 species
UCCAGGCCUGUGGUUUGGAUGUACCUGAGGUGCCCUGUCCUCACUGGGAGCUUUUCCAGGGAUUGUGUGUCCCUGUGAAGGCUCCUGCAGCAGCCCAGGUGUGCCUGGGAGCCCUCACUGCCCUUAGGGAGCUCCUGUGGGGCUCAGGGGAUGGGGAGGGACCCUCAGGCUCUGUGUGCUGGGGGUGUCCCCAAACCCAGCUGUGCCUUGUGACAGCCUGCUUCACUUGGCUUCCCGGGGCCUCAGGGAAGCCUGUUUUGCCGUGGCAGAGAAUUCCCUGCUCCCACCAAUACCCCAGUGCUGGUUGCUCUCCCCUGGGUCUCUCCUUGCCUGGCUCAGCUGCAGGUCCCCAAGCACAGGCUCGCCUCCAUCUCCACAGGACUGGAUCCCCUCCAGGACAGGCUCCUCUCAGCCCCGCCAAUACCUGGAUCCCCUCAGAACCCUCUGGGACAAGCUCCCCUCAGACCCCCCAAACACGGGAUCCCCAAGACCGGAUCCCUUCAGCUUCCUCUGGCCAAGCCCCCUCCAGCCCCUCCUCAGCGGGCGCAGCCAGGGUGGGGAGGGCUGGGAUGCAGCAGCCUCCAUUCCCCCGUCCAUCCCUCCCUCCCUGCCUGCCUGCCUGCUGCGUGCUGCAGCCCGCCUUCCCCCCGGCCUGCCGCGCUCCCCCCGCUCGCCGCCCGCGGUGAUCCGCGCUGAGCUCACGGCCGCGCCUCACGACACCCCGGCUCGGCACGUCAGCCCCGCCAUCGCGUGAGAGCCGCCGCCCGCCGCCGCCCCCCCGCCCGCCGCCAUCACGCACGGCGGGAACAGCUGCCGGCACGGCGCGGCCAGACCCCGCUCCCAGACCCCGCUCCCAGCCAAGGCGGGCUCUCGCCAGCUCCUAUUAAUGCAGACCUUAAUUAAUGACCCC